rnacentral:misc_RNA from 1 species
GAAGGUGGGCGCGCGACUCCUUAUAUGGUUACACACACAGUCACAGGGCACGGGUAGAUGCGGCCUUUGAACACAUUCCCACACUUCAUUCAUUUGGCAAACACAUAUUUCGAGCGCAAUGUUGACAAUCGAAUGCGCAAAAUUAGACUCUUGCAAUAUAAAUAAUAUGAUCAAUCAACAGAUAAUAGUAUUAAUUUAAACGAGUAAUUGUGUCUUGUUUUUGGAUAUGAUGAACAUAGAGGCAGGCAGCUGUGCAGUGUGCAUGUGUGUGUAGUGUGACGUCACAGUUGGUAGUGGGGGACGCGCGUCGAAUCGAAUGGAGGGGACGGAGCGGGUCUAGCAGAAGUAAAGAGCUGGGUGUGAAGUGGUUGCUGUGUCUGUAGUGUUGUUUUGAUAUUGAUUUUUCGUGUGUUAUGUGUUAUUGUUGGAUACUUUUAAAGUACAUCAGCAAUAAUUUUUAGACUACAAGUCAAGUUUUCCGAUAAAUUGCGAGGAUUGUGCUACGUGAUUCAGAUUGAGAGCAGCACAGUUACUUGCGACAUUUCCCUAUGUCUUUGUUGCUCCUCCGGUAGCCUUGCCUCAACCUUCUCAGAUUGAAUCUUGUCUUAAAAGAAGUAUUAUAGACGAGCAGACACUAUGGCGACUCUAUCUCUUCGAAUUAGCAUAGUUGAAAAGAAUGUCAUCAAAACUAUGCAAUUUGAUCCAUCGACAUCAGUGUAUGAUGCUUGUAGAGUGAUCCGAGAGAAGAUUUCCGAAGCAAACUUGGGUCAACCCAAAGACUACGGUCUGUUCCUUGCUGAUGAAGAUGUGAAGAAAGGUGUAUGGUUGGAACCCGGAAGAAAUCUCGAUUAUUACAUUCUCAGAAACGGGGAUCUUCUCGAAUACAGAAAGAAGAUGAGAACUUUGAAGGUGAGGAUGUUGGAUGGAACUUUGAAGACGAUGCUUGUCGACGACAGUCAGCCGGUUGCUAAUCUCAUGGUGGUCAUCUGCACUAAAAUUGGUAUCACAAACCAUGACGAAUACAGUUUGGUAAGAGAAUGUGCUGAGGAUGAUUUAGAGAACAAACCCAACUUUGGCACCCUCACAUUGAAACGCAAAAAGGAAGAAAAAGAACGAGAUUUGAAAAUGGAACAGCUGCGUAAGAAAUUGAAGACUGAUGAUGAAGUGAACUGGGUGGACCCGAGCAAAACGUUGAGAGAACAAGGCAUAGAUGAAGGAGAGCCAGUACUCUUGCGUCGUAAAUUCUUCUUCAGCGAUCAGAACAUUGACUCAAGAGAUCCGGUACAACUGAACUUGCUCUACGUGCAAGCCAGAGAUGCCAUCCUAGAUGGAACGCACCCUAUAACACAGGAGAUGGCUUGUGAAUUGGCUGGUAUCCAAAGUCACAUUCAAUUCGGUGAUUUCAAUGAGGCCAAACACAAACCACCAUUUCUUGACUUGAAAGAGUUUCUUCCACAGUCGUAUGUCAAAGUGAAGGGGAUUGAAAAGAAAAUCUUCAUUGAACAUUCAAAACACGUAGGCUCUUCCGAACUUGAGGCCAAAGUACUCUACACAAAAACUGCCAGAUCGUUGAAAACGUACGGUGUGACGUUUUUCCUUGUAAAGGAAAAGAUGAAAGGAAAGAACAAACUUGUUCCGCGUCUUCUGGGUGUGACAAAAGACUCAGUUCUUCGUUUAGAUGAAAGAACCAAGGAAAUAUUGAAAACAUGGCCGUUGACCACUGUGCGUCGAUGGGGAGCUUCUCCCAAUACCUUCACUCUCGACUUUGGAGACUAUUCAGAUCAGUACUACUCGGUACAAACUCAAGAAGCCGAGCAAAUCCUGCAACUCAUCUCUGGAUACAUCGAUAUCAUAUUGAAGAAGAAAAAGUCAAAAGAUCACUUCGGCAUUGAAGGAGAUGAAGGCUCCACUAUGGUUGAAGACAGUGUCGCCCCCCUCAAGGCAACUAUUCUGCAGCAUGAAAGCAGUAGAGUUGGAAAAGUGAAUACUGAAUCGGUGGCCAAGCCUGCAAUCAUGCGUGCUGCUGAUGGAGCGAAGCCAUAUGGCAUGGGUCAUGCAGGUGCGGCACAAUAUACUACAAUCAGCGGACAAAUCAACAUCGCACAUUCCCCUCCAACGAUGAUGACAACUACUUCUGGAGUCGAGUCCAACAGACGCAGGUGACAAGUAUACUGUCAGAACCUCAACAGGCUCUGUUAGGCACAAUCAGCGCUGGACAUCAAGUUAUCACUACGGUCGAAAAAGAACUUAUCACCAAGGCUGAAAUUCCAGAACUCGGCACUGAUCCAGCAUCUCUAAAAUGGAAAGAGACGACACUGGACACCAACAAACAAAAUGUGAGCUCGCAAUUAGCCGCUAUGAAUGCUGCCACUGCUCAAGUUGUUACACUCACAUCAG